UACAGAGGGGGCAAGCGUUAUUCGGAAUUAUUGGGCGUAAAGGGCGCGUAGGCGGCCUGGCAAGUGGAAGGUGAAAUCCCUCGGCUUAACCGAGGAACUGCCCUCCAAACUGCUUGGCUUGAGUCCGGGAGAGGUGAGUGGAAUUCCCAGUGUAGCGGUGAAAUGCGUUGAUAUCGGAAGGAACGCCGGUGGCGAAAGCGGCGUACUGGACCUCUUCUGACGCUGAGGCGCGAAAGCUAGGGGAGCAAACGGGG
rnacentral:rRNA from 1 species